ACUCCAAGCCUCUUCUGGUGUCAUAUCCUUUACUGCAAGUGUCGGUGAUCGAUUCAAGACAUUAUUCGCCCACAUGACAGCUUCAGGCCAGAAUUUCUUAGGUACUUUCUUUUCUGUCAACACAGCUCUUACCAAGUUCAUCACUGUACGAUUUUUGCGUUCAGCUACUUUGUUUUGUUGUGGAGUAUAAGCUGUGGUCAGUUGUCUAUUCACUCCAUGUUGCUUGCAAAAGUCAUUAAAUUCUGCAGAAUUGAAUUCUCCUCCUCUAUCUGUUCUUAGGCAUUUUAUGGGCAUUCCAAUUUCUUUUUCCACUAAAAUUUUGAAACAUUUAA
rnacentral:misc_RNA from 1 species